rnacentral:rRNA from 1 species
UCGGGUUGUAAAGCACUUUUGUCCGGAAAGAAAACUUCUGGGUUAAGACCCUGGGAGGCUGACGGUACCGGAAGAAUAAGCACCGGCUUACUACGUGCCAGCAGCCGCGGUAAUACGUAGGGUGCGAGCGUUAAUCGGAAUUACUGGGCGUAAAGCGUGCGCAGGCGGUUUGUUAAGACAGAUGUGAAAUCCCCGGGCUUAAACCUGGGAACUGCAUUUGUGACCGGCGAGCUUAGAGUAUGGCAGAGGGGGGUAGAAAUACCACGUGUAGCAGUGAAAUGCGUAGAGAUGUGGAGGAAUACCGAUGGCGAAGGCAGCCCCCUGGGCCCAAUACUGACGCUCAUGCACGAAAGCGUGGGGAGCAAACAGGAUUAGAUACCCUGGUAGUCCACGCCCUAAACGAUGUCAACUAGUUGUUGGGUCUUCAUUGACUUAGUAACGUAGCUAACGCGUGAAGUUGACCGCCUGGGGAGUACGGUCGCAAGAUUAAAACUCAAAGGAAUUGACGGGGACCCGCACAAGCGGUGGAUGAUGUGGAUUAAUUCGAUGCGACGCGAAAAACCUUACCUACCCUUGACAUGGUCGGAACCCUGCUG